GAUGAACGCUGACAGAAUGCUUAACACAUGCAAGUCGACUCGAGUCUUCGGACUUGGGUGGCGGACGGGUGAGUAACGCGUAAAGAACUUGCCUCAUAGUCUGGGACAACAUUUGGAAACGGAUGCUAAUACCGGAUAUUAUGCUUUCUUCGCAUGGAGGAAGUAUGAAAGCUAUAUGCGCUAUGAGAGAGCUUUGCGUCCCAUUAGCUAGUUGGUGAGGUAACGGCCCACCAAGGCGAUGAUGGGUAGCCGGCCUGAGAGGGUGAACGGCCACAAGGGGACUGAGACACGGCCCUUACUCCUACGGGAGGCAGCAGUGGGGAAUAUUGGACAAUGGACCAAAAGUCUGAUCCAGCAAUUCUGUGUGCACGAUGACGUUUUUCGGAAUGUAAAGUGCUUUCAGUCGGGAAGAAGCAAGUGACGGUACCGGCAGAAGAAGCGACGGCUAAAUACGUGCCAGCAGCCGCGGUAAUACGUAUGUCGCAAGCGUUAUCCGGAUUUAUUGGGCGUAAAGCGCGUCUAGGCGGCAAGGAAAGUCUGAUGUGAAAAUACGGGGCUCAACUCCGUAUUGCGUUGGAAACUGCCUUACUAGAGUACUGGAGAGGUAGGCGGAACUACAAGUGUAGAGGUGAAAUUCGUAGGUAUUUGUAGGAAUGCCGAUGGGGAAGCCAGCCUACUGGACAGAUACUGACGCUAAAGCGCGAAAGCGUGGGUAGCAAACAGG
rnacentral:rRNA from 1 species